GGUAGCAUAAUCNUUAGUUUUUUAAUUGAGAACUUGUAUGAAUGGUUGAAUGAGAAAUAGACUUUUUUAAUAGAAAAAUUGAAUUUUACAUUUUAAUUAAAAGGUUAAAAUAUUUUUAAAAGACGAGAAGACCCUAUAGAGUUUUAUAAUUUAUAUUUAAUACAAAAAAAAAUUAAUAAAUAUUUUUAUUUAAAUAAUUAUUUUGUUGGGGCGACGAUAAAAUUUAAUAAACUUUUAUUUUUUUUUACAUUAAUAUAUGGGGGGCUGAUCCGCUAUUGGCGAUUAAAAAUUUAAAUUACCUUAGGGAUAACAGCGUAAUUUUUUUUUUAAGUUCAUAUUAAUAAAAAAUUUUGCGACC
rnacentral:rRNA from 1 species